rnacentral:rRNA from 1 species
UACGUAGGGCGCAAGCGUUAUCCGGAAUUAUUGGGCGUAAAGAGCUCGUAGGCGGUUUGUCGCGUCUGCCGUGAAAGUCCGGGGCUCAACUCCGGAUCUGCGGUGGGUACGGGCAGACUAGAGUGAUGUAGGGGAGACUGGAAUUCCUGGUGUAGCGGUGGAAUGCGUAGAGAUCCGGAAGAACACCCGUGGCGAAGGCGGUUCUCUGGGACGGUACUGACGCUGAGACGCGAAAGCGUGGGGAGCGAACAGG